UGAGAACGUACCAGUGAUCGCCCU
rnacentral:siRNA from 1 species